UGUGUCCUGUGUUGCCGUAAGAACAG
rnacentral:piRNA from 1 species